GUCAGUUUGGUGGUAGGGCACUUAUAGUAUGGUUCUCUGGAAGGCUGCAUUCUUUCACUAGAGAUACCUGGACUUGUAUACUCACGAGAUGCCCCUAUCAAUGCAAGAUUAUGCAGCCAGGGAAAGGAACUUUGAAGAUAUUGCAAUGUCUUUGUUCAUUGCCAAUGCUACAGAUGCUCCUCCAAUUUGGGUGUAAGGAAAGAUAUGAGAUUGGAUCAUCAGGCGUAAUUAGUCUGAAAGGGCAAAGUGAAAGGAGAAAUAAAUGCCUGAAUGAUUUCAUUUCCCUAUAUGGGACCGUGCCUCUUGUUUCAAAAAAUGUAAAAGCUCUAGAUGCAAGACGAGAAUGGUUCUGGUAGUUGUGAGCAUGGAAUUCUUUGGACCUCACCUCUUAGAUUCGCCUUCUUGUUGCAAUCAAGUUCUGCAGCAUGUUUAUUCCAACUGCUUGUGUUUAGAGGGGACCCUGCUUGAACGACUGGUAAGAUGUUAUUGUUAACUGACAUUUUUUACUCACUCGCGCUUAUCCGUUCAUCUCCCUUUCAUGGGCUGUUGACCUGCUGCAAGAUUUUUCUCAAAACAGACUGAAUUCAGGACACCACGAGAAUUAUGCAAAGUUUGAUAAAG
rnacentral:misc_RNA from 1 species